AAAUUGAAGAGUUUGAUCAUGGCUCAGAUUGAACGCUGGCGGCAGGCCUAACACAUGCAAGUCGAACGGUAACAGGAAGCAGCUUGCUGCUUCGCUGACGAGUGGCGGACGGGUGAGUAAUGUCUGGGAAACUGCCUGAUGGAGGGGGAUAACUACUGGAAACGGUGGCUAAUACCGCAUAACGUCGCAAGACCAAAGAGGGGGACCUUCGGGCCUCUUGCCAUCAGAUGUGCCCAGAUGGGAUUAGCUUGUUGGUGAGGUAACGGCUCACCAAGGCGACGAUCCCUAGCUGGUCUGAGAGGAUGACCAGCCACACUGGAACUGAGACACGGUCCAGACUCCUACGGGAGGCAGCAGUGGGGAAUAUUGCACAAUGGGCGCAAGCCUGAUGCAGCCAUGCCGCGUGUAUGAAGAAGGCCUUCGGGUUGUAAAGUACUUUCAGCGGGGAGGAAGGUGUUGCGGUUAAUAACCGCAGCAAUUGACGUUACCCGCAGAAGAAGCACCGGCUAACUCCGUGCCAGCAGCCGCGGUAAUACGGAGGGUGCAAGCGUUAAUCGGAAUUACUGGGCGUAAAGCGCACGCAGGCGGUCUGUCAAGUCGGAUGUGAAAUCCCCGGGCUCAACCUGGGAACUGCAUUCGAAACUGGCAGGCUUGAGUCUUGUAGAGGGGGGUAGAAUUCCAGGUGUAGCGGUGAAAUGCGUAGAGAUCUGGAGGAAUACCGGUGGCGAAGGCGGCCCCCUGGACAAAGACUGACGCUCAGGUGCGAAAGCGUGGGGAGCAAACAGGAUUAGAUACCCUGGUAGUCCACGCCGUAAACGAUGUCUACUUGGAGGUUGUGCCCUUGAGGUGUGGCUUCCGGAGCUAACGCGUUAAGUAGACCGCCUGGGGAGUACGGCCGCAAGGUUAAAACUCAAAUGAAUUGACGGGGGCCCGCACAAGCGGUGGAGCAUGUGGUUUAAUUCGAUGCAACGCGAAGAACCUUACCUGGUCUUGACAUCCACAGAAGAAUCCAGAGAUGGAUUUGUGCCUUCGGGAACUGUGAGACAGGUGCUGCAUGGCUGUCGUCAGCUCGUGUUGUGAAAUGUUGGGUUAAGUCCCGCAACGAGCGCAACCCUUAUCCUUUGUUGCCAGCGGUCCGGCCGGGAACUCAAAGGAGACUGCCAGUGAUAAACUGGAGGAAGGUGGGGAUGACGUCAAGUCAUCAUGGCCCUUACGACCAGGGCUACACACGUGCUACAAUGGCGCAUACAAAGAGAAGCGACCUCGCGAGAGCAAGCGGACCUCAUAAAGUGCGUCGUAGUCCGGAUUGGAGUCUGCAACUCGACUCCAUGAAGUCGGAAUCGCUAGUAAUCGUGGAUCAGAAUGCCACGGUGAAUACGUUCCCGGGCCUUGUACACACCGCCCGUCACACCAUGGGAGUGGGUUGCAAAAGAAGUAGGUAGCUUAACCUUCGGGAGGGCGCUUACCACUUUGUGAUUCAUGACUGGGGUGAAGUCGUAACAAGGUAACCGUAGGGGAACCUGCGGUUGGAUCACCUCCUUACCUUAAAGAAGC
rnacentral:rRNA from 3 species